GCCUUGGUGGCUCUGUGGUAAUAGCCUUGCCUUUACCCGCAAAGGUUGCUGGUUCAAACCCAGCUUGUGUGCU